GACGAACGCUGGCGGCGUGCCUAAUACAUGCAAGUCGAACGCAGUGGGGACGGGUGAGUAACACGUGGGUAACCUCCCAUCAGAGGGGAUAACACUUGGAAACAGGUGCUAAACCGAUACUGAUGGAUGGUCCCGCGGUGCAUUAGCUAGUUGGUGAGGUAACGGCUCCCCAAGGCCACGAUGCAUAGCCGACCUGAGGGUGUGAUCGGGCACACUGAGACGGAGACACUGCCCUGACUCCUACGUGAGGCAGCAGUAGGGAAUCUUCGGCAAGUGACGAAAGUCUGACCGGGCCACGCCGCGUGAGUUAAGCGGGUUUUCGGAUCGUACAACUCUGUUGUUAGAGUAGCGGUAUCUAACCAGAAGGCCACGGCUAACUACGUGCCAGCAGCCGCGGUAAUUC
rnacentral:rRNA from 1 species